GACGAACGCUGGCGGCGUGCUUAACACAUGCAAGUCGAACGGAAAGGCCCCUUUGGGGGUCCUCGAGUGGCGAACGGGUGAGUAACACGUGAGUAACCUGCCCUUGACUUCGGGAUAACUUCAGGAAACUGGGGCUAAUACCGGAUAGGAAUCCUUGCUGCAUGGUGGGGGUUGGAAAGCUUCGGCGGUUUUGGAUGGACUCGCGGCUUAUCAGCUUGUUGGUGGGGUAGUGGCUUACCAAGGCUUUGACGGGUAGCCGGCCUGAGAGGGCGACCGGCCACAUUGGGACUGAGAUACGGCCCAGACUCCUACGGGAGGCAGCAGUGGGGAAUAUUGCACAAUGGGCGGAAGCCGGAUGCAGCAACGCCGCGGGCGGGAGGACGGCCUUCGGGUUGUAAACCGCUUUCAGCAGGGGCGAAGCUUGUGGUGACGGUACCUGCAGAAGAAGCACCGGCUAACUACGUG
rnacentral:rRNA from 1 species